rnacentral:rRNA from 1 species
AACUAACGCUGGCGGCGUGCCUAACACAUGCAAGUCGUACGAGAAAGUUGGCUUCGGCCGAUGAGUAAAGUGGCGCACGGGUGAGUAAUGCGUGGAUAAUCUGCCCUUUAGUUGGGAAUAACGUACCGAAAGGUGCGCUAAUACCUGAUAAUACUGCAUAACUACUGUUGUGUAGUCAAAGAAGGCCUCUGUUUACAAGCUUUUGCUGAAGGAUGAGUCCGCGUACCAUUAGCUGGUUGGUGGGGUAAUGGCCUACCAAGGCUACGAUGGUUAGCUGGUCUGAGAGGAUGAUCAGCCACACUGGAACUGAGACACGGUCCAGACUCCUACGGGAGGCAGCAGUGAGGAAUAUUGCGCAAUGGGGGCAACCCUGACGCAGCAACGCCGCGUGAGUGAGGAAGGUUUUCGGACCGUAAAGCUCUGUCGAGCGGGAAGAAAUGUAUCAUGGCUAAUAUCCAUGAUACUUGACGGUACCGCUAAGGAAGCACC